AUUGAACGCUGGCGGCAUGCCUUACACAUGCAAGUCGAACGGCAGCACGGGAGCAAUCCUGGUGGCGAGUGGCGAACGGGUGAGUAAAGUAUCGGAACGUGCCCAGUCGUGGGGGAUAACGUAGCGAAAGCUACGCUAAUACCGCAUACGAUUUAUGGAUGAAAGCGGGGGACCGCAAGGCCUCGCGCGAUUGGAGCGGCCGAUAUCAGAUUAGGUAGUUGGUGGGGUAAAGGCCCACCAAGCCGACGAUCUGUAGCUGGUCUGAGAGGACGACCAGCAACACUGGGACUGAGAGACGGCGCAGACUCCUACGGGAGGCAGCAGUGGGGAAUUUUGGACAAUGGGCGCAAGCCUGAUCCAGCAAUGCCGCGUGCAGGAUGAAGGCCUUCGGGUUGUAAACUGCUUUUGUACGGAGCGAAAAGGCUCUCACUAAUACUGGGGGCUCAUGACGGUACCGUAAGAAUAAGCACCGGCUAACUACGUGCCAGCCGCCGCAGUAA
rnacentral:rRNA from 1 species